rnacentral:rRNA from 1 species
GAAUAUUGCGCAAUGGGCGGAAGCCUGACGCAGCGACGCCGCGUGGGGGAUGACGGCCUUCGGGUUGUAAACCUCUUUCAGCAGGGACGAAGCCGUGAGGUGACGGUACCUGCAGACGAAGCACCGGCCAACUACGUGCCAACAGCCGCGGUAAUACGUAGGGUGCAAGCGUUGUCCGGAAUUAUUGGGCGUAAAGAGCUCGUAGGCGGUUCGUCGCGUCGGCUGUGAAAACCUGAGGCUCAACCUCAGGCCUGCAGUCGAUACGGGCGGACUGGAGUUCGGCAGGGGAGACUGGAAUUCCUGGUGUAGCGGUGAAAUGCGCAGAUAUCAGGAGGAACACCGGUGGCGAAGGCGGGUCUCUGGGCCGAUACUGACGCUGAGGAGCGAAAGCGUGGGGAGCGAACAG